GCAUCGCUCGGCCCCCAGCUCGCAGCUGCCCGGCACCUUUCCGCGAAAUCCUUCCUAUGGCCCGCCGUCCUCGCGUGCGGUCAUUUCAAGUCCGCAGCUGAGAAAGGACCUGGGUCUUUGUCCCCUCGGACUUGGGGUGGCGGAGGGGCUCCUGCGGAACCCAGACCGUGUACCUGGUGCCCGAUCGGGUUGUUUACACUGGCACACACAGCCCUUCUCGUUGCCAGGACGACCCCGGCCCCGGGGACGAGUUUUACCGGUGCACCCAAAAUGUCUCCCCCCGUCCCCCAGGUUUGGGUUGUGGCGCCGCAGCGGGGUCUGUGAGCCGGGGCGUCGCAGAUCUCCCGGAUCUGAUAUCGGGGGCCACCCCCCCCCCCCCCCCCCGCGGUGGCGAUGGUUCCAGGCCGUGGCCUCGGGUUGGCGGAAGCGUAGGCUCCCAUCGAGGCUGGUCCCCCGCCCCCCGCCCCUCCCCCAGCGCUGAGAAGCUGCAGGCUGUCUGCGUAGCCGCCGCCGUGACUCACCUUCUUCUUCCCUGCCGGGACCUGGACGGCCUGGGUCUGUAGCCGUGGGCCCUCCACCCAGGCUCCGCAAGCCCAUCCUACAUCUCCCCGGGCAGGUGUGUUUGCAGGAACAGUCUGGGCACCAUCGUCGUUUCUGACCCCAGGAUCCUUGCGUGUAAAUAGCAAUUUUUGAAACCACUUCUGCAGGAGGUGAGCCUUCAGGGCUGUGCCGAGAUGAAGAGGAGAAGGGAUAAGCCUCGCAGCUGGGAGAAAUGCUGAGCUCGCUGCCCGGAGGACACCACACCCCCCUGGGACUGCCUCGCAGAGACUGCGCUGCGGAGGCGGCCUAGAGAGGUUUCAGAUAUUUAGUGAUUCUGUGCAUUUAGAGGGGACGUAUUUCCUGGGUAAGUGGCAAAUUGUGCAGAUGUCUUCUGGAAGACCUUCGUUGUAAGCAGCUUUAUGGUGGAACAUUUCAUUUCGAAGUCUGCACCUUCUUCCUUCAGCUUGCCGUGAUCUGCGUUCACAGAAUAGAACCUGUAUUGAUUAUCGCGACCCAGUUUGCUCCAGGUUUCUGGAUUGAAUAAAUAUCAGGCGCAAGACCUACAGCGCUGCCCCAGUACCUCUAGCUCCACUAAAUACGAAGAGAGGGAUCAGGCUUGGCUGCUUCUCGGAACAUCUUGGAAGAUCUGGCGGAACGUGGUGGUGGCAGACGCCUAGGGUCUGGAAGGAGGGAAGAACGAAUCUGCAAGGCGCAGGUGCCCAGAGAAUAGAUCUGAAGCCUUCUUGCUACACACGAACAAGGUAACUGUGUGAGGUGACGGAUGCGUUAAAAUUAACUUAAUUGUGGUCAUCGUUUCACAGUGUCUACAUAUAUCAAAUCGUAUUGCACACUUUAAGUAUAUACAAUAUUAUCUGUCCAUUAUAAUUAAAGCUGGGAAAAAUUAAAAAUAGUGUCAGAUCCAUCCAUUGAUGGUUCUGUUGAGCUGAACUAUCUCUUUACUGCUUGUCUGCCUACUGGAUCUGUCAGCUACUAAUAGAGGGAGUGUUGAAAUCCCUCACAUUAAUAGUGGAUUAUCUAUUUCUGCAUUUUUAUCAGUUUUUGCCUCUUGUAUUUUGACGCUUUGUUGUAAAGUGCGUAUAUUUCAGAGAUUAUUGUGUCUUCUUGGAGAAUUGACUCCCUUGUUAUGUAAUACCCUCUUUACCCCUGCUGAGUUUCUUGUUCCAGUGCCUUUUUUUGUCUGAAAUUCACGUAGCUACUCCAGCUUUCUUUUGACUCGUGCCGGCUCGGUUCACCUUGCCCUACUCUUUUACUUUUAAUGCAUAUGUGUUUUUAUAUUUAAAUGGGGUUUCUUGUGGACAGCAUAUAGCCGGGUCUUGUUUUGCAUCUGCCCUUACGGUCUCUUCUUGCAAUUGGCGUAUCUAGACCACUCCCUUUUGAAGUGAUUACUGGCACGGUUGGAUUUACAUCCACCAUGUUCGUGAAAAUUUUGUACCUGCUUCACUUAUUCUUUGUGUUCUUUUUAAUCUUCCUGUUUCUGCCCUCUCUUUUAAUUGAGCAUUUUUUAUUGUUCCACUUUCUCUUCUCGCUCAGCGUAUCAGUUAUAUUUCUCUUUAACUUCUUGGUGGUUUCCCUAGACCUGGACUGCGCGACGUAAGUCUCCAACCGGUCCAGGUCCGCCUUCAGGUGACACUGCAGCGUGGGCGUAACGGACUUCGCAGCCUCUCACCCCAUCCCUUACUAACACUGCUACGUUUAUUGCACUAACCUACCUGCUAUCACCGCGCAGUAUGUUGUGGCCGGUAUUCCUUUGAACAGUCGUCCAUUAGAUUAAGUAAGACUAAGAAAAAUAAAAUACGCGAUUGUGAUCUUCACGUGUUCCUUCUGUGACCCCUUUCCUUUCGUUUACGUAGAUCCAAAUUUCUGACCAACGCCAUGUUCCUUCUCUCUGAAGAGCAGCUUUUAACGCUUACCCGCAACGGCAGUUCUCUCAGUUCUGUUAGCCUGAACGUUAUGGGCUGAAUUGUGUUCCCCUCCAAAGUUGAUAUGUUGAAGCCGUGACUCCCAGCACGACUGUAUUUGGAGACAGGGCCUUUAGAGAGGUGAUGAAUGUCCACCGUGCUGAUGAGGGUGGAGCCCGGCUGCAGUAUGACUGGCGUCCUCGUAAGAAAAGGAAGAGACGCCAGGGAUGGGCACUGACACAGAGGUAAGGCCAUGUGAGAAGACAGCCAUCUCCAAGCCAAGCGGAGAGGCCUCCGAAAAGGCAGCACUGAUCUUUGCACCUUGAUCUUUGACUUUCAGUCUCCAGAACUGAGAGAAAAUAAUUUUGUUGUUUAAGCCCCCAGUUUGUGGUAUUUUGUUUUGGCGGCCCUAGCAGACUACUACACCAACAAAGUCUUUAUUUUCCCUUACUUCUGAAGGAUGGUUUUUCUGGAUAUAGACUCCUUGGUUGGUGGGUUUUUUUUUUUUUUUUCCAACCCUUUAAAUAUUUCGUGCUACCCUCCUUGCUUGCAUGAUUUUUGAAGCAAGUCCGGUAGAAUUCUUACCUUUGUUCCCCUCUAGGUAAGAUGUUUUUCUUCUCUGACUUUUUAAAAGACUUUUCCUUGGCUUUAUGCAAUUUGAAUAUGAUCUGCCUAGGUGUGUGAGUGCGCGCGUGCCUGUCUGUGUACGUGUGUGUAUUGGCAUUUAUUCUGUUUGGCGUUCUAUGAGAUUCCUCGAUUUGUGCUGUGGUUUCCGUCACGGAUUUUAGAAAAAUCCCAGCCAUUAUUAUGUCAAAUAGUUGCUUUUUCUCUUUCUUCUGCUUUUGACAGUCUCCUUAUACAUGUGCUGUAUUUUGGUGAUUGCCUCACAGUUAAUAGAUAGUCUGUCCCAAUUUUUAUUAUUUUUUCUCUUUACAACUCAGUUUGGGAAGUUUCUGUUGACCUAUCUUCAAGUGCUCGGAUUCUAUGCCCAGCCCUUUCCGAUCACCUGACGCGUCCAUCAGAUGAUGUAGACUAUUUCUGUUAUAGUGUUUUCUGUUUCUAGUAUUUCCUUUAUCUUCUUUCUUAGGGUUUCUGUCUCUCCGUUAUUAUAUGUACACUAUCUGUUCUUGCAUGUUGUCCGCUUUUCCCAUUAAAGCCCUUUUUUAAUUUCCCAUCUGAUGAUUUCACAAUCUCUGCCGUAUCUGACUGAACCUGGUUCUGACACCCACUUUGUCCCUUCAGAUCGUUUCUUCUUCCCUUGUGUCAUGCCAUGUAACUUUUGUUGUUGUUGAAAGCCAGUCAUGAAUUAUCAGGUGUCAGGGAGUAAAUUGGCCGUUCGUAUGAGAGUUAUUUUUAUCUGGCUAGGAGAUCUGCUUUAUUUACUCUUUUCUGUACCUGUAGUGUCAGAGGAUUCAGUUUCCACGAGUGUCUUUGUUUUUUGUCCCCCAGCAUCUUUCGUUUCCCUCGACAACCCUUCUGAAGUAGAAUCUGAGCCUUGGCGCUCUCUGAGCAGUAAUCCACUGCUAUUAGGCAGGAGCCCUGUUGAUGUUUGCUCAGGUCUGGACUGAGAAGCAUCCUGUAAUCCUGGGAUUAGGUCUCAGUCGUUCAGUGUACCUGUCCCCCUGGGCCGGGAUCUUCUCCGGUGUUUCUCAGCUUUUUUCCCCCACCUUAUGUGAAGAAGGAAGGCUACAGGGGGCCUGAAGUUUGGGGAUUUCCCUCACCCCAAGUCCAGGGAGGCUUCUCCCUUGCUGGGUAGGCCUUUCUUGUGGGGAAUGCUCUUGGCUUCUUUCAAAAUGGUUACCUCUCGCCUCUCCCUGGCCCAACAGGAGGCAAUUUUGCUCUGAUCGUUACCAAGAAAACCUGGUGAGGAUUCUAGAGGCAGACACCAUGAUGGUGGAGGGAAGGGCUACCUUAGAUGGCCCCCCUGCCAGGAGUUCUCUCAGGCCAGUCCAUGCUCAGCACCCCCCCCCCCCCCCACACACACACACACAGGUCAGGGAAGCUGCCAUGUAAGUUACUGCCUCGGGUUUGCUGAGUUGCAUUCAUGGUAACCUGUGGUUUCUAGAAUCCCCGGCUCCUUCAGGUUUGGGGUGUGGUUUGUCCCAUGAGCUCAGUUCUGUGACAUGUCCAGAAAGAGUCACUGGUUCUGUUUUCCUCGUUGUGAAGGUGGGUGAUGAGUUGCAAGCACUUUACGUAUUCGAGUCGAGUCUUUCCUUUGCGUUUUAGACGUUAUUUCCUUAGCUCUACGGACAUAUCUGGUAAAAGUCUUUAUCUAGUAAUCCCAUGCCUGUGCUUCCUUAGGGACAGUUCUCUUGAUUGCCCCCGCCCCCGCCCCCCCGCCAUACAUGGGCCAUACGUUCUAGAUUCUUCACGUGCCUCGUAAAAUUUUACUGAAAACUGGACAUUGUGAAUAUCAUAAUGUGGCAACUCUGGAAAUCAGAUUCCCCUCCUGGCAGGCUCCGUUGUCGCUGCCUGUUGUAGUUAUCGUUUAUUUAGGACUUCUCUGAAUUAAUUCUGCAAAGAGUAUUUUUUGUAUAUGGCCACUGAAGGCUUAGCUUAGUUAGUGGUCGGCAAAUGGUGGACAGAGAUUUCCUUCAGUGCCUGGAACGCAUCAAUCUCCCGGUCAUUUCCGAGAGGCUCAGUGUGUGUGUGGCUUUCAUCAUUCAGUCAGGCAGUUUACAAGUCUGUAGUAACCUUCACUAGCCUCAAGGUCAGCCAGGGUUGGGAAGUUAGGGCUUCCUCACACUUUCUUGAGCAUGCACAAUGCCCUAAACGUGUACUUGGCCUUCUAGAUUCCCAGGAAUAUGUCAGAACUUUUCGAAGCUCCUGUGGACUGUGGUGGCCCAACCGAUUCUGUUAAGCUUUGUGGUUAGUCUGGUAAACUUCCCUCAAAGGUUACCUUUCGCCUUAGGCAUCCCCGGCCCCAAACACCUUCCAGUGAAUGUUUUUGGCCAGUGCCCUCAAGAAGAGAUUUUUUUUUUUUUUUUAGCAUUAGAGGAACUCCUAGUCAGUUCAAAUAAAGACGAGUCUUUGGAGGAAGGUCUUCCAAUGAUCCAUUAGGUUAAAUAAUGAAUAUUUGGGGGGAAUGAGGCUUUAAAAGAAGACCACUCUGCUCCUUCCUAUACUGAAAGGGAGUACACAUAAUCCUGUAGACUAUGGAUUAUAAUGGACCUGGGGGGUAGGAAGAAUGGGGAGUAAUUGCUAACAAGUCGGAUUUCUUCUGAGCAUGAAGAAACAUUCUGAAAUUAGCGUUGAUGAGUGGCACAGCCUUGUGAAUAUACUAAAAACCACUGAAUUAUGCACUUUAAGAUGAUGUGUGAAAUAUGUCAAUAUAAACAAGAAUUGAAGUUCUGAUACAUGGGUGAACCUUGAAAAUAUGAUGCUAAGGGAAAGAAGCCACACAGAAUAGGCCUUAUAUUUUGUGAUCCCAUUUGUUAGGAAUGUCCAGAAUAGUGAAAUCCAUAGACAGAAAGUAGAUGAGUGGUUGCCAGUGGCUGGAGAAAGGGGAAGUGGUGAGUGAUUGCUAAUGGGUAUGAAGUUUCUUUUCGAGGUGAGGAAAAUGUUCUGGAAUCAGAUAGUGAGGAUUGAGGCGCCAAUUUGCAGAUACAGUAUACUAAAAACCACUGAAUUGUACAUUUUAACAGGGUGAACAUCGUGGUAUAUGAAUUAUAUCAAUUAAAAAAUGUUGUUUUAAAGGAAAAUGUAAUGCCAUAGAGAGCAUAAAUGCGUUCAUGUAUUCAAAAAAUAUUUAUGGAGUAUGUACUGCUUAUCUGACCUGUCUAGGUACCAGGGACCAGGAAUUGAACAAAAGUCCUUCCCCUCAUGGCCUGGCAGGUGCAGUCUGAAGAGUGCGUGACUCUUGAUCUCGGGGUCGUGAGUUCGAGCCCUGCACUGGGUGUAGAGAUGAGUUAAAAAUAAAUCAGUAAAUAAACUUAAAAAAAGUCCUUCCCCUCCUGGACAGUAUAUUCUGGUAUUAGAAGAAAAGCAGUAAGAUAAAUAGCUAAGAACUAGGGUCUCGGGCAGUGCAAAGGGACAAAUAAAGCAGGGAAGGAAGAGUGGUGUCAUUAGAUUUUAGACCACCUGAAUAAGCAGAUGGCAUUUUAGCCAAGAUCCGAAGGGUGGUCAAAAGGCGAGCCAUGAGAAUAUCUCAGGGAAGAGCCUUCCAGGCAGAGGGAGCAGCACGCGCAAAGGCCCUGAGGCGCAGCUGGGCGCGACAGUUGAGGAACAGCAGGGGGAGGAGUGUGGCUGGAGUGAAGAAGGUAAAAAGGGAGAAGGGAGGUGGAGUCGAAGCCAUAACAGUGGCGAAGGGGAAGCGCUCAGACUGCAUUGGUUCUUGCAGGCCCCUGUCAGGAAUUAACUUUCAUCUUGCGCUCAGAGUGACCAGUGGGCUUUCCAGGGUCAGAAAUUCCCAUCUGUCCCUUUCACAUGAUAUAGGAAGUUCCUUUUUUGGAACAGGCUCUCCCUCCUUAGGCCACUAAGCCCCACAGCGAGUGCCAGCGUGAACACUGUGUUUAACAGAGUAUCAGAGAUUUCUCGGGACAUGUACAGUUAUGAGAUAAUGCAGACACUGGAAAACAGGAUCGUGCUUUUCACCGUCAAAGACUGUCACAGUCUGAUUGUGGAAGUCAGAUGGGGCGCAGUGUUCACUUAUUCUAGCCGUUGAUAUCAUCUCCUAGGGUUUCUGUACUCGAAGCUUUUGAUAAAGCCAGAGGCUGUCUGCAUCUUGCCGGUUGACCGAGCUGACACGCUCAGCUUCCUGACGCGAGCUCCCCGGUUUGCCUCUGGCCCGGUUGCACUUUGUGCAUUUACUUUGUGCUGUCCACUUCGUCUCUCCGCGGGCUGUGAAUUUCCCCCUGGGGGUGAAGAAAGGGUUCUGGAAAUAGUGAGGAUUGAUGCACAAAUUUGCAAAUCGACUAGAAACCCCUGCAUCGUACAUCAUAACAGGGUGACCAUCAUGGUAUGUGCAUCGUACCUCAAUAAGAAUGUUAUUUUUAAAAAGACAGAAUAAUGCCAUGGAGAGCAUAAAUCCGUUCAUAUAUUUUAAAAAUGCCUGUGGAGCAUUUACCGUUUACCUGCCAUUUAUUUCUAGGGACUGGGGACUGAGAACGGAACGAAAAUGCUUUCCCCGGUAGGCCAUAUAUUCUGGUAUUAGAAGAAAAGCAGGGAGGUCGCUUUUCUUAACAAUAUCUCCGAUCGCUUCUGUGAAUGACUCUGAAGCACACUCAGGAGUCUCCAAUAAUUUGUUCUCUGGUUUCCUGAUGGUGCUUCACGUAUGAUCUAGUCCGUUGUUCCUGCUCAUGAGGGUCCCAAAAGGCAACAAGUGAACUUCCCUCAAAACAGACCAACGCGGUGAUGCUUUGUUCAGAAUUGCCAAAACCUGGAAGGAACCAAGAUGUCCUUCAGCAGGUGAACGGGUGAAUAAGCUGUGGUACGGCCGGACGGUGAAAUAUUAUUUAGCAUUAAAAAGAAACGAGCUACCAAACCAUGAGAAGACAUGGAAGAACCUUAAAUGCGUUAUCACUGAGUGAAAAGGCCAGUCUGAAAAGGCUCCGUGCUGUAGGAUUUCCAGCUAUAGGACAUUCUGGAAAAGGCCAGACCGUGGAGAUGGGAAAAAGAUCAGUGGUGGCCGAGGGUUGCGGGUCAGGGGAGGAGGAGUAGCCGGAGCACUGGAUUUUUCGGGCAGUGCAGCGACCCUGUGUGACACCUCGAUGAUGGCUGCGUGUCCCUGUACAUUGGUUCAAAUCCAUAGAAUGUACAGCAUUAAGAGCCGCCUGGUUGAUUCUCCAGACUCGUGUGGAGUCUCCUCCUCACUCCCGCUAUCCAGCCACAUGGCCUCUUCUAGAAAAUAUGAACCCUCCCCACCUCAGGAUCUUUGCCCAAAACCUCGCUCCUGGCGUAUUUCCUACUUAUUCUUCAGGGUCGGCUUUCAUGUCCCUCCCUCGGAGUGGCCUUUCUUGACCUCACAAACCUAAAUCUGAAUCUAUUAUAUUCUCUCUCCUUGUGCCGUGUUCCUCACAUGGACACACUUACCACCCUCUGUGGAUUUAUUAGUUUACUGUCCGCAUCCCCAGUUGGGUGGCAGAUUUCAUGAGUGUAAGGGAGGCACCUGCCGUGUUCGCUGAUGUAUUCCCAGCACGUAGCCCGGGGCCCGACGGGAGGAGAUGCUCAGUUGACCUGUCGAAUGCGGGAAUAAAUGAGUGGACUCUGUGAGGUUGAUGUUAUUAGCUCAGAGUACUUCAGCGAUUUACCUGCUGCCACACAGCUAGCAAGGGGACAGAAAUGGAGGAGACCUCAGAAUUACAGUUCCUAGGUGAAUAUACCAUCUAGAAAAGUAUUUGCUAAGGGGAUGGAAAGUAGGGGUGGGGGGUGGGGGGGUGGGGGGCGUGGAGCUGGCAGGUGAGAAGAUUCCAGACCAGUGACUCUCAGGGAGAUGGCCCCAGGCGUGUUGGGGGGUGGGGGUGGGGGGAUGGGGUGAGAAUGUGCAAGAUGCAUAUUCAGUAUUUUACAUUUGUUGAAAAAUACCUUCUGUUUUCAUAAAACAGACCGCUGAAAGACUGUCCCUUCCCUGGCUGGGAAGGAAAAUAGGAAAUAGGGCGCCUUUUCCUCUAAGGGCAGAUUUUUCAGUUUCCCAGAAGGAAGCAGGUUUACAAGGCCAUGGGGAAACGGCUGCCCAAGGGCAUUCUAGCACUUACCUAAGCAGAGUGGAGGGCAGGAGGGCAGGAGGGCGCAGGCGAUGUCGGGGCGCGGGCCGUGCCAGGACCCUGUUCGCACAGGGAGAGCAGGUCGGGGUGACAGCACCCCACAAGCUGCACGCUCCACCCCCAUCUCACAGACCGCCCUUCCCACCCUCCAGGCUGCACGUGGCUUCGACUCCCCACGCCCCUCCAACCGCAGCCCCCACCCCUCCAUCCGCACCCAACCGCAGCUCCGUUUCACCCCCCAUCCCCGCCAUAGGCUUCGCAUCGGCCCAGUCUUGCCUCAUCCCACCGCCCAGACUAGUCUCGUCGCCCUCCUCUGCCGGGCGGCGGUGCCCGCGCUUGUCUGUGACGCUAGCGUGCUGGCGUGUCCGUGAGGGACAGGCUCGCGGUUAACAGCCAUGCGCAAGGGGGGAAGCCAACGUUGUGUGCAGUAGGGCCGGCAGCCGGGGUUGUGCUUGAACGGUUUGCUUUUGUUGGUUCUUUGGCUUGGAUUGGGGGCGGGGGGCUGGUUUUUCUGUGUGCGUCUGUCUGUCAAUGUAUAGGUUCCAAAUCGUUUUUCUGGGAAAAGACCCUUAUUUUUCUAGAGUGAUUUGACCCAUUUUUUGGUGAAAUGCAUUAACUUUCCCCUUUCGAAAGACUGAUGGGGAGGGAAUAAUGGGAAUGACUUCAUAUGCCAAAGAAAACAGAUAAGGUGUGAAGAGACGUUUUAUCAACAUUUAAAUCUCCACGUGCCGUUUUGGUUUUGUUUUUAAGAACUUCGCCAGGAAUGAAAUUGACUAAGUCAAAGAAUGUUAGAGCUGGAAGAAACUUUUGAAACGAAACCAGCUUCCCAUUAUUAUUUACGUAGAACAAGAGGCCCAGAGAGGGUAAGUGACUUGUCCAAAGUCACAGAGCACUUGAAUGCCGUUGGGGCUGAUUUCCAGCCUGGAGCUCAAGUGGGAAGCGCAGUAUCUCUCAGUGAAAAGACAGUCGUGUGAUUUUUUAAAGAUUUUAUUCUAUUUUUUAUUGUAUGGUUAUUGUAAGAGAAGUUGGGAGAAUUUAAUGUUUUAAUUUGCCUGGAGUUCCUACCACUUCAAAAUGAUCCUUGUGAGUAUUUUUGCUGUAUAAUUUUCCAGACUUUCUAAUGUAUGUGUAUCCUGGUAAAAAAAAAAAAAAAAAAAAAAAAAAAGCGCCGUAUUUAUUAAAAUUGGUUCACACUGUGCACACUUCUUUGCAAUGUAAUUCGUAACAGAUGCAUAACUAUUGUAUUGAAUGGAUGUACCUUCAUUAACUUGAUCAGUCCCUAAGAUAGACAUAUAAGCUUUUUCAAAUGUUAAGCUCUUAUAAAAGAUGCUGCAUUAAAGAUUCCUGUUUGUA